AUUCCAUCCAUUCACUCGUUUAUUUCUUCACUCACUCACUCCCUCACUCCCUCACUCACUCACUCACUCCCUCACUCACUCCCUCACUCCCUCACUCACUCACUCACUCCCUCACUCACUCCCUCACUCCCUCACUCACUCACUCACUCACUCACUCACUCCCUCACUCCCUCACUCCCUCACUCACUCACUCACUCACUCACUCACUCACUCACUCCCUCACUCACUCACUCCCUCACUCACUCCCUCACUCCCUCACUCACUCACUCACUCCCUCACUCACUCCCUCACUCCCUCACUCACUCACUCACUCACUCACUCACUCCCUCACUCACUCACUCACUCCCUCCCUCACUCACUCACUCCCUCACUCACUCCCUCACUCACUCACUCACUCCCUCACUCCCUCACUCCCUCACUCACUCACUCCCUCACUCCCUCACUCCCUCACUCACUCACUCCCUCACUCACUCACUCCCUCACUCACUCCCUCACUCCCUCACUCACUCACUCACUCCCUCACUCACUCCCUCACUCCCUCACUCACUCACUCACUCACUCACUCCAUCACUCACUCACUCACUCCCUCACUCACUCACUCACUCACUCCCUCCCUCACUCACUCACUCACUCACUCACUCACUCACUCACUCCCUCACUCACUCACUCACUCACUCACUCCCUCACUCCCUCACUCACUCACUCACUCACUCACUCACUCACUCCCUCACUCACUCACUCCCUCACUCCCUCACUCACUCACUCACUCCCUCACUCACUCACUCACUCACUCCCUCCCUCACUCACUCACUCACUCACUCACUCCCUCACUCACUCACUCACUCACUCACUCCCUCACUCCCUCACUCACUCACUCACUCACUCCCUCCCUCACUCCCUCCCUCACUCACUCCCUCACUCACUCCCUCACUCACUCCCUCACUCACUCCCUCACUCACAGUCAUUUACUUAUCUAUUCCAUCCAUUCACUCGUUUAUUUCUUCACUCACUCACUCCCUCCCUCACUCACUCACUCACUCACUCACUCCCUCACUCACAGUCAUUUACUCAUUCAUUCAUCCACUCAAUCAUGUGUCAUUACUGUGUUGUUGACAUAUAUGGGUUUUGCCCCUACGUACAUGG
rnacentral:lncRNA from 1 species